rnacentral:rRNA from 1 species
GACGAACCGUCCUAACGUUGUUCGGAAUCACUGGGCUUAAAGGGCGCGUAGGCGGCUUGCCAAGUCAGGGGUGAAAUCCUGGAGCUCAACUCCAGAACUGCCUUUGAUACUGAAGAUCUUGAGUUCGGGAGAGGUGAGUGGAACUGCGAGUGUAGAGGUGAAAUUCGUAGAUAUUCGCAAGAACACCAGUGGCGAAGGCGGCUCACUGGCCCGAUACUGACGCUGAGGCACGAAAGCGUGGGGAGCAAACAGGG